rnacentral:rRNA from 1 species
GAUGAACGCUGGCGGCGUGCCUAAUACAUGCAAGUCGAGCGAACAGACGAGGAGCUUGCUCCUCUGACGUUAGCGGCGGACGGGUGAGUAACACGUGGAUAACCUACCUAUAAGACUGGGAUAACUUCGGGAAACCGGAGCUAAUACCGGAUAAUAUAUUGAACCGCAUGGUUCAAUAGUGAAAGACGGUUUUGCUGUCACUUAUAGAUGGAUCCGCGCUGCAUUAGCUAGUUGGUAAGGUAACGGCUUACCAAGGCAACGAUGCGUAGCCGACCUGAGAGGGUGAUCGGCCACACUGGAACUGAGACACGGUCCAGACUCCUAAGGGAGGCAGCAGUAGGGAAUCUUCCGCAAUGGGCGAAAGCCUGACGGAGCAACGCCGCGUGAGUGAUGAAGGUCUUCGGAUCGUAAACCUCUGUUAUUAGGGAAGAACAAAUGUGUAAGUAACUAUGCACGUCUUGACGGUACCUAAUCAGAAAGCCACGGCUAACUACGUG